CGGGAAAAACACCGGGAAUGACACCAGGAAAAAUACCGGGAAAAACACCGGGAAUACCGGGAAAAACACCGGGAAUGACACCAGGAAAAACACCGGGAAUGACACCGGGAACAGCGGGAAAAACACCGGGAACACCGGGAAUGACACCGGGAACACCAGGAAUACCGGGAAAAACAACGGGAAAAACACCGGGAAAGACCCUGAGAACACCAGGAAGAACAACGGGAAAGACACCGGGAAAAACAAUGGGGAAAACAAUGGGAAAAACACCGGGAACACCGGGAACAACGGGAAAAACACCGGGAACAGCCCCGGGAACAGCUGGAAAAACCCCGGGAACAGCGGGAAAAACCCCGGGAACAGCUGGAAAAACCCCGGGAACACCGAGCCAACAACAGCCGUCAACGGGAAGAAGCAGAAAGGCAGGAAAAGCUCCCCCAACCCCCAGCAAAACACCUGAAAACGCCGGAAUUCCACGGGAAAACAGCGGGAGAACUCCAGAACCGGGGGAAAAACCCCGGGAAAACCCCGGAAUGUUCCAGAAAAGGCCCAGAAUGUUCCGGAAAACCCCGGAAUGUUCUGGAAAACCCCGGAAUGUUCCAGAAAAACCCCGGAAUGUUCCGGAAAAGCCCCGGAAUGUUCCGGAAAAGGCCCAGAAUGUUCUGGAAAAGCCCCGGAAUGUUCUGGAAAAGCCCCAGAAAAGCCCCGGAAUGUUCCGGAAAAGGCCCAGAAUGUUCUGGAAAAGCCCCAGAAUGUUCUCGGAAAACCCCGUAAAAGCCCCGGAAUGUUCUGGAAAAACCCAGAAUGUUCUGGAAAAACCCAGAAUGUUCCGGAAAAACCCCGGAAUGUUCCGGAAUAGCCCCGGAAUGUUCCAGAAAAGGCCCGGAAUGUUCUGGAAAAGCCCCGGAAUGUUCCGGAAAAGCCCCGGAAUGUUCCGGAAAAGCCCCAGAAUGUUCCGGAAAAGCCCCAGAAAAACCCUAGAAAGCCCCAGAAUGUUCCGGAAAAGGCCCGGAACCCCCAAGGAAAAGCGCAGGGAAACGGAGCCGGAUUCAAGUUUUUAUUUUGGGGAGGGGUCCUGAGUAGAGCAAUAAAUAAAAAAACCCCUCCCCCA
ensembl:lncRNA